rfam:Dictyocaulus viviparus strain HannoverDv2000 D_viviparus-1.0_Cont2702.1, whole genome shotgun sequence.
GCCCGUGUGGCGGAAUUGGUAAACGCAGCGGAGUUAAAAUCCGUGAGUUUUAUGGCCUUGAGAGUUCAAGUCUGCCCAUGGGCA